rnacentral:tRNA from 1 species
GCGGGGUUGCCCUAGCCUGGUAGGGGGCAGGCCUGCUAAGCCUGUGGUCAGAAAUUGGCCCCGCG